rnacentral:rRNA from 1 species
CCUACGGGAGGCAGCAGUAGGGAAUCUUCCACAAUGGACGAAAGUCUGAUGGAGCAACGCCGCGUGAGCGAUGAAGGCCUUCGGGUCGUAAAGCUCUGUUGUUAGGGAAGAACUAAGUACCGUGUUAGUAACUGCCGGUACCUUGACGGUACCUAACCAGAAAGCCACGGCUAACUACGUGCCAGCAGCCGCGGUAAUACGUAGGUGGCAAGCGUUGUCCGGAAUUAUUGGGCGUAAAGCGCGCGCAGGCGGUCCUUUAAGUCUGAUGUGAAAGCCCACGGCUCAACCGUGGAGGGUCAUUGGAAACUGGGGGACUUGAGUGCAGAAGAGGAAAGCGGAAUUCCACGUGUAGCGGUGAAAUGCGUAGAGAUGUGGAGGAACACCAGUGGCGAAGGCGGCUUUCUGGUCUGUAACUGACGCUGAGGCGCGAAAGCGUGGGGAGCAAACAGGAUUAGAUACCCUGGUAGUCCACGCCGUAAACGAUGAGUGCUAAGUGUUAGGGGGUUUCCGCCCCUUAGUGCUGCAGCUAACGCAUUAAGCACUCCGCCUGGGGAGUACGGCCGCAAGGCUGAAACUCAAAGGGGAAUUGACGGGGGCCCAGCACAAUGCUGGUUCCGGAGCAUGUGGUUUAAUUCGAAGCAACGCGAAGAACCUUAC